UGGCGGCAUGCCUAACACAUGCAAGUCGAACGGUAACAGGCCUUCGGGCGCUGACGAGUGGCGGACGGGUGAGUAAUACGUAGGAAUCUGCCCAUUAGUGGGGGAUAACCCGGCGAAAGCCGGGCUAAUACCGCAUACGCCCUACGGGGGAAAGCGGGGGAUCGCAAGACCUCGCGCUAUUGGAUGAGCCUACGUCGGAUUAGCUAGUUGGUAGGGUAAUGGCCUACCAAGGCAACGAUCCGUAGCUGGUCUGAGAGGACGAUCAGCCACCCUGGGACUGAGACACGGCCCAUACUCCUACGGGAGGCAGCAGUGGGGAAUUUUACACAAUGGGGGAAACCCUGAUGUAGCGACACCGCGUGAACGAAGAAGCCUUUUGGGGUGUAAAGUUCUGUCGGCUGGAACGAAAAAAAUGACGGUACCAGCAAAGGAAGCAUCGGCUAACUACGUGCCAGCAGCCGCGGUAAGACGUAGGAUGCAAGCGUUGUCCGGAUUUAUUGGGCGUAAAGAGUUCGUAGGCGGUUAUUUAAGUCUGAUGUUAAAUACUGUGGCCCAACCACAGAACUGCAUUAGAUACUGGAUGACUUGAGUGCGGUAGAGGCAAGUGGAAUUCCCAGUGUAGCGGUGAAGUGCGUAGAUAUUGGGAAGAACACCAGUGGCGUAAGCGACUUGCUGGCCCGUAACUGACGCUGAGGAACGAAAGCCAGGGGAGCGAAUGGGAUUAGAUACCCCAGUAGUCCUGGCCGUAAACGAUGGAUACUAGGCGUUGUGGGUAUCGACCCCUGCAGUGCCGCAGCUA
rnacentral:rRNA from 1 species